rfam:Brassica oleracea var. oleracea cultivar TO1000 chromosome C4, whole genome shotgun sequence
UUGCGAUGAUGAGAAUUUUAUGAAUAAAUUGAAAGUGGAAACGCUUAAUGAACGGUCGACAAAAAUGUCGAACCUGAGCGGUUAGCUGAGCAA